AGCGUUGUCCGGAAUCAUUGGGCGUAAAGCGCGUGUAGGCGGCUCGGUAAGUCCGCUGUGAAAGUCCAGGGCUCAACCCUGGGAUGCGGGUGGAUACUGUCGGGCUCGAGUCCGGAAGAGGCGAGUGGAAUUCCCGGUGUAGCGGUGAAAUGCGCAGAUAUCGGGAGGAACACCAAUGGCGAAGGCAGCUCGCUGGGACGUGACUGACGCUGAGACGCGAAAGCGUGGGGAGCAAACAGG
rnacentral:rRNA from 1 species